UGGGGAAUAUUGCGCAAUGGGCGGAAGCCUGAUGCAGCGACGCCGCGUGAGGGAUGACGGCCUUCGGGUUGUAAACCUCUUUCAGCAGGGACGAAGCGCAAGUGACGGUACCUGCAGAAGAAGCACCGGCUAACUACGUGCCAGCAGCCGCGGUAAUACGUAGGGUGCAAGCGUUGUCCGGAAUUACUGGGCGUAAAGAGUUCGUAGGCGGUUUGUCGCGUCGUUUGUGAAAACCAGCAGCUCAACUGCUGGCUUGCAGGCGAUACGGGCAGACUUGAGUACUGCAGGGGAGACUGGAAUUCCUGGUGUAGCGGUGAAAUGCGCAGAUAUCAGGAGGAACACCGGUGGCGAAGGCGGGUCUCUGGGCAGUAACUGACGCUGAGGAACGAAAGCGUGGGUAGCGAACAGG
rnacentral:rRNA from 1 species